GUCGUACGCUUCUUUUUCCCCGGAGCUUGCUCCACCGGAAAAAGAAGAGUGGCGAACGGGUGAGUAACACGUGGGUAACCUGCCCAUCAGAAGGGGAUAACACUUGGAAACAGGUGCUAAUACCGUAUAACAAUCGAAACCGCAUGGUUUUGAUUUGAAAGGCGCUUUCGGGUGUCGCUGAUGGAUGGACCCGCGGUGCAUUAGCUAGUUGGUGAGGUAACGGCUCACCAAGGCCACGAUGCAUAGCCGACCUGAGAGGGUGAUCGGCCACAUUGGGACUGAGACACGGCCCAAACUCCUACGGGAGGCAGCAGUAGGGAAUCUUCGGCAAUGGACGAAAGUCUGACCGAGCAACGCCGCGUGAGUGAAGAAGGUUUUCGGAUCGUAAAACUCUGUUGUUAGAGAAGAACAAGGAUGAGAGUAACUGUUCAUCCCUUGACGGUAUCUAACCAGAAAGCCACGGCUAACUACGUGCCAGCAGCCGCGGUAAUACGUAGGUGGCAAGCGUUGUCCGGAUUUAUUGGGCGUAAAGCGAGCGCAGGCGGUUUCUUAAGUCUGAUGUGAAAGCCCCCGGCUCAACCGGGGAGGGUCAUUGGAAACUGGGAGACUUGAGUGCAGAAGAGGAGAGUGGAAUUCCAUGUGUAGCGGUGAAAUGCGUAGAUAUAUGGAGGAACACCAGUGGCGAAGGCGGCUCUCUGGUCUGUAACUGACGCUGAGGCUCGAAAGCGUGGGGAGCAAACAGGAUUAGAUACCCUGGUAGUCCACGCCGUAAACGAUGAGUGCUAAGUGUUGGAGGGUUUCCGCCCUUCAGUGCUGCAGCUAACGCAUUAAGCACUCCGCCUGGGGAGUACGACCGCAAGGUUGAAACUCAAAGGAAUUGACGGGGGCCCGCACAAGCGGUGGAGCAUGUGGUUUAAUUCGAAGCAACGCGAAGAACCUUACCAGGUCUUGACAUCCUUUGACCACUCUAGAGAUAGAGCUUCCCCUUCGGGGGCAAAGUGACAGGUGGUGCAUGGUUGUCGUCAGCUCGUGUCGUGAGAUGUUGGGUUAAGUCCCGCAACGAGCGCAACCCUUAUUGUUAGUUGCCAUCAUUCAGUUGGGCACUCUAGCAAGACUGCCGGUGACAAACCGGAGGAAGGUGGGGAUGACGUCAAAUCAUCAUGCCCCUUAU
rnacentral:rRNA from 1 species